CUAGGAGCUUCUACCUGCUGGUCAUGUGCUUGCUAUGGAAUCCAAUGAAUGAAGAGCAUCAUUUAGGAGAACUUGAUGUGAUUUCAUUUCUUCUCCUCCUCAAGCAUUAUUCAGCCUGA
rnacentral:lncRNA from 11 species